UCCAAUCCAAGUACUUAUUUAUUUGGAGAAACUUUCAUUAGAAGCAGGGCACAAUCAAUAAACUAUUAUAUUAUUUUGAAUCUUAACAGGGUUACUAAGUGACAACUUACUAAAUGUUAGGUUAAAUAAUGCAUUAGAAUUUCGUCCACUUAUGAUCUAACAACUGGAUUAAUAAUAUCACGUGACGAUGUUGCAAUUACAAACAUAAAUUUCUUUAACUUUUUCUCCCAAGUAGCAUUUUCACAUUACGAAGGGUUAUCUUUUUAUGCUAACAAUGUCGGGUGGUACUUGUCACCUAAGUUGGGAUAGAGAAUUGAAUUUAGUUAAUUUAAUUUACCGAAUUCAUUUUAAAAAAAUUAAACCCAUUGCCAAAUUUACAUAACUCUUCCAAACUAAUCAUAAUGUCUCCACAAGAAGGUAGCAAAACAUGCAUGGUACCAAAACCCAGUCUCAAAAUUUAAAAAAGGUUCGAUGGGAUUACCAAAACCC
rnacentral:lncRNA from 1 species